AGAGUUUGAUCCUGGCUCAGGAUGAACGCUGGCGGCAGGCUUAAUACAUGCAAGUCGAGGGGUAUCAUGGUAGCUUGCUCCAUGACGACCGGGAAACGGGUGCGCGUACGUACAGAACCUUCCUUUAUCGACUGAUAGCCCUUAGAAAUUUGGAUUACUACCCCCUAAUAUUUCUGUUCGUUAUCUCUUGAUAAUUUGAGAUUUAUCACUUACAGAUGGUUGUGCAUCUGAUUACGUAGCUGGUGCUAGUUACGGAUCACCAAGCCUUCGAUCAGUAACUGGUGUGAGAGACCGACCAGGCACACCGGCCCUGAGACACCUGACCGACUCCUACGACUCCUACGCAGAGGGGAAUAUUGGAAUCGGAGGCAACUCUGAACCAGCCAUGCCGCGUGAACGAUGAAGGUCCUCUGGAUUGCAAACUUCUUUUAUGUGGUAAGAAAUGCAUUUUUUUUAAAGUGUUUGACGAUCCCAUAUUGAAUAAGCACCGGCUAACUCCCUGCCAUCAGUCCCGGUCAUACGGAGGGUGCAUGCGUUAUACGGAUUCACUGGCCUUAAUGGUUGCGUAGGUGGGAAUGUAAGUCUGAGGUGAAAUCCCCAUGCUUAACCUGGAAACUGCCUUUGAUACUAUGUUUCUUGAAUUUUCUGGAGGAUAGCGGAAUAUGUCAUGUAGCGGUGAAAUGCUUAGAUAUGACAUAGAACACCAAUUGCGAAGGCAGCUAGCUACAGGGACAUUGACACUGAGGCGCGAAAGCGUGGGGAUCAAACAGGAUUAGAUACCCUGGUAGUCCACGCCCUAAACGAGGGAUACUCGACAUACGCGAUACACUGUGUGAGUCUGAGCGAAAGCCUUAUUAUCCCAGCUGGGAAGUACGACCGCAAGGUUGAAACUCAAAGGAAUUGAUUGGCGUCCACCCAAGCGGUGGAGCAUGAGUUUUAAUUCGAUGAUACGCGAGGAACCUUACCCGGGCUAGUAUGCCAUUGGACGAUGGGUGAAAGCUCACUUCCCCGCAAGGGGCCGGAGGAAGGCGCUGCAUUGCUGUCGUCAUGUCGUGCCGUGAGGUGUUGGGUUAAGUCCCGCAACGAGCGCAACCCCUAUCUAUAUUUCCCUUCAGGUAAAGCUGGGAACUCUAUUGAAGCGGCAGUCGUAAGACAGGAGGAAGGAGGGGAUGAUGACAAGUCAUCAUGGCCUUUAUGCCCGGGGCUACACACAUGCUACAAUGGGAAGUACAAAGAGCUGCCGCCUGGUGACAGGUCCCUAAUCUCAAAAACCUUCUUCAGUUCAGAUUGCAGGUUGCAACUCGCAAGCAUGAAUCUGGAAUAAUUAGUAAUCGUAGAUCAGCAACGAAUCGGUGAAUACGUUCCCGGCCCUUGCACACUCACACCGUCAAGCCAUGGAACCCGGGAGGUCCUAAAGGUGAUAACCGGUAAGGAGUCGCCUAGGGUAAAACUGGUAACUGGGGUUAAGUCGUAACAAGGUA
rnacentral:rRNA from 1 species